CAACCGGUGGGGACCUUGCGCAAUGACGUCUGACGUAGGAGCAAUGACGACAGACGUAGGAGUCUGCGCAUGCGUCAAGUAGCAAGGUCACGAGUAAACGAGGGGGCGCUGUCCUUUUGGAGAAGUUUUUAUCCACCUGAAGGAGGGAAGAAGAAUAUUAAUCAUACUGCACGGGAAGGUAUAGCUUCUAUGGAGAGUUUGAUGCUGAAGAAGAAAGAUACAUUUUGUCCAGAAACAGUUAUCCUAAACAUAGCACAAGUAGAAUGAAGUGAAGGAGGAGUAAAGAAGAGCAUCAGCAACUCUUCUCAGUCUUCCUCGCCUCCAUCCCAAACCAGGUCUGAAGGUGAACAUCUACACUAAGAAACUCUCUCUAGAUAUCUAGGCUUUCCUUGUAAUUUAGACUCCCCUCUACACUGCCAUAUAAUCUAGAUUAUCAAACAGAUAACCCACAGUAUCUGCUUUGAACUGGGUUAUAUGAAUUUAGACUGCCAUAUAAUCCAGUUCAAAACAGAUGUGGAUUUUAUAUGGCAGUGUAGAAGGGGCCUUAGAGUUGUAAAUUGUACAGAGCUGUACAUUGUGUGUGGAGCCUAUACACAUUCAAAACAAUGUAUUGUUAUGCACAGGAAGCGUUAGUUUUCUGGAUGACAGUUCCCAGAAUCCUCAAGCCAGUCCGGCAACUAGUCAAGAUGGCUAUGGGAUUCCAGGAGCUGUAUUUAAAAAUUCAACUUUUCUCUGCUCUGACUAUAUCAGCUUGAGUACUGAGGUUAGCUCUCUUCUUGUGAAUAUCACAUAAAAUCACUUUGUCAUUGGAUAAUUUGACAUAUAAUCAACACAUGUUUUUGAACUAUUUACUUAUUUUUGUCUUGAUCGGAAUCUUGGGUCUCUUGAGGAAGGCCGAAGAGAAGCGAUCGUCCAAAUCUUUGUGGCAAAUUGGCAAGAGAACGGGAAAGGCUUUGAACAUCGGGAGCUCUCUCAAAUCUGUGUGAAAAAGGAAGGACAUGCCUCCGAAGUCUUCCCAAAGGUGCCCUUCCAAAUCUGAGUGGCAAGUUGGCUGCGGGUUUUAUGCUUCUUUCCUCUCUGACUUUUCUGCCAAACCUCAGUGGCAAGUUAACGGCUGCAUGUGCCAUCUUCUUCAUUUCUGGCGUUGUCCUCCUAAUGAUUUUAUUCAGCUCCCAGUCAUUCAUAGAUUCAAGAUCCAUACUCCUCAGCUUUUCUUCUGUAAGUGCUCCGCCAGCCUAAAAGGGAAAAAAACCAACAUGAUCUCAAGGUAACUAUGAACAAGAAACAUGUUGCUAAAGAAGCAAGAUGCUGAUUAAGGUUUGGACUUGUGGUAAUUUAGAAAACCUGCCUUAGGACCAGAGGCGGUCCAACCAUAAGGCGAACUAGGCACUUGCCUGUGGCGCCAUCGUCCCAGGGGCGCCAUCGUCCUGGGAGGAGGGCACCACUCUCCACCUCCUUCUCUUUUGGGCCUUCCGGCGGCCACGCUGGGCCUCCUGGUGCCUGUGCUGGGCUUUCCGGCCGGUGCAGACCCACCUUCGCACCACGGGAGCCCACCUUUGGGGCCUUCAGAGAUUGUGAGGUCUGUGGGAACUUGGAAGCUAGGUAUGUGGGGUUUAUAUAUCUGUAGAAGGUCCAGGGUGGGAGAAAGAACUUUCCUUUGAAGCAGGUGUGAAUGUUGUAAUUAAUUACCUUGAUUAGCAUUUAAUGGCCCUGUGGCUUCAAGGCCUGUCUUCUUCUUGCCUGGGAGAAUCUUUUUUUGGGAGGAGUUAGCUGUCCCUGAUUGUUUACUGUCUGGAUUUCUUCUGUUUUCAGAGUGUUGUUCUUUAUUGUCCUGAUUUUAGAGUUUUUUUUAAUACUGAGGGCUGUCUGGGUUAUCUAAGUCCACACUGCCCUAUAUCCCUGUUCAAUGUUUAGUGCUAAAUUCGCAAAUAUAGUAAUUCCUACAUAAUAUUACCAUGUAUUGAACUGCUUUUUCUAUUGAUUUGUUGUAAAACAUGAUGUUUUGGUGCUUAAUUUGUAAAAUCAUAAUGUAAUUUGAUGUUUAAUAGGCUUUUCCUUUAUCUUU